CAGUCGCCACGGUAAUACGUAGAGUGCGAGCGUUAAUCGGAAUUACUGGGCGUAAAGCGUGCGCAGGCGGUUCGUUAAGACAGAUGUGAAAUCCCCGGGCUUAACCUGGGAACUGCAUUUGUGACUGGCGAGCUAGAGUAUGGCAGAGGGGGGUAGAAUUCCACGUGUAGCAGUGAAAUGCGUAGAGAUGUGGAGGAAUACCGAUGGCGAAGGCAGCCCCCUGGGCCAAUACUGACGCUCAUGCACGAAAACGUGGGGAGCAAACGGGAUUAGAUACCCGGGUAGUCCCUGUCUCUUAUAC
rnacentral:rRNA from 1 species